rnacentral:lncRNA from 1 species
UACAACCUGACAUGAACCCUGAGUUAAACGAGAGAUUUGUUAGUUGCUCACUCACUCAUGUCUCUAAAUAAGCCGCACGUUCUUCCCCACGCAUAUUCCGAGCUGCGAAGAUAUGCAGCGAAUCUCUCCGCCUCGUUAGCCAUCUCCUUAGCCAAUAGUGCGUCCAUCCAGGGUCGUCUCCAGGAAUUCGGGGCCCCGGUGCGAAAAGCAUAA